AUGGACAUGCACUUUCUACCCAGCUCAGCAUCGUCCCCAAGCCUGGGUCAGCGUGCCAGGUGGCUCGGUGCACAACUGUCUGCGCACCUCUGUGAUAAAGAUGGGGCCAGAGAUCGAAGGGCACACACACGUGAUCUUUCCAAACCAAGAGGCAGGAGCCAUCUGUCACUCCAGGUCCAACUCCGAACCUGCCAGCGGACCUAUCAUCGUCCAUCGGAACUUUGGACACCCUCCCUGGUGCAGACAGCCCAGAGCCCCCACGGCUCAGUCUGGCGCCCUCCCUCUCUGCUUCUCUUGCAGUUGGGAACCGGAAAGGACACUGUUCCUAGCUUGUUUGCCUGGGGAGGCUGACCUUGGAGAUUCGAAAAGAACUGAAAAACUCGGGUCCAAAAAGUGACAAAGUGAACUUGUUAACUCUCGGGAUGGAAAGGGGGCCUAAAAGCCAUUUGCCCCGUGCCAAACACUCUGAGAAGAUGGAGUUUACAUUCGUUUGGCGGGUAAGUAGGAAUGGGGCGCCGCUCGCGCUCCGGCCUGGCUCAGCUCGGGGCUCUUUGAAGGUCGCCUCAUUGUCACUUCGAAGCGCCGGAGCCGGGAAGCCAGGCCACGCGGCGUGACCGACACGAUGCACUGUGGGCACCUUUCUGUGCCCCAUGGCCCUCCCGCAGGUGCGGCCGAAGCCGGAGGGGGCCGCCCCCGCAGGGUCCCGGCCUCUCACCUUUAUCACAGCAUGCACCCACACUCCCGAAACACCUUCCCCACCCAUCCCCGAGGGCCAGAUGCGCUGAAGUCACCGGUCAGCGGUGCCCGGGCUUACCCUCGAGAGGCGCACCGAGCGCGGCCCCGGAGCCGGCGCGAUCCCGGGGGCCUCC
rnacentral:lncRNA from 1 species